rnacentral:RNase_P_RNA from 1 species
UUUUAGGUAAACGCUGCAUAAAUUUAUGUAGAGGAAAGUCCAUGCUCACUCAAUCUGAAAUGAUUGAAAGUGUUCGCGCUAAGGGAAAAAAUAACCUUAGGGUAUAGAAAUAUACACGGCUGUGAAAUAAUCAAGAACUGAUUAAAGUAACUAUAAAAGUGCCAUAGAGACGAGAUUAUUAGGGAUAAUAAUUAUGGAACGAGGUAAACCCCACGAGUGAGAAACCCAAAUUUGGUAGGGGAACUCUUACGAAUGAAUAACAAAGGAGUAAGGGAAGAAGUAAUUCUUAGAUAAAUGUUUACCACCUAGAAAUAGGUACAGAACAUGGCUUAUU